GGCUACACAUGCAAGUCGAGCGGAUGAUGGGAGCUUGCUCCCUGAUUUAGCGGCGGACGGGUGAGUAAUGCCUAGGAAUCUGCCUGGUAGUGGGGGAUAACGUUCCGAAAGGAACGCUAAUACCGCAUACGUCCUACGGGAGAAAGCAGGGGACCUUCGGGCCUUGCGCUAUCAGAUGAGCCUAGGUCGGAUUAGCUAGUUGGUGAGGUAAUGGCUCACCAAGGCUACGAUCCGUAACUGGUCUGAGAGGAUGAUCAGUCACACUGGAACUGAGACACGGUCCAGACUCCUACGGGAGGCAGCAGUGGGGAAUAUUGGACAAUGGGCGAAAGCCUGAUCCAGCCAUGCCGCGUGUGUGAAGAAGGUCUUCGGAUUGUAAAGCACUUUAAGUUGGGAGGAAGGGUUGUAGAUUAAUACUCUGCAAUUUUGACGUUACCGACAGAAUAAGCACCGGCUAACUUCGUGCCAGCAGCCGCGGUAAUACGAAGGGUGCAAGCGUUAAUCGGAAUUACUGGGCGUAAAGCGCGCGUAGGUGGUUCAGUAAGUUGGAUGUGAAAUCCCCGGGCUCAACCUGGGAACUGCAUCCAAAACUGCUGAGCUAGAGUACGGUAGAGGGUGGUGGAAUUUCCUGUGUAGCGGUGAAAUGCGUAGAUAUAGGAAGGAACACCAGUGGCGAAGGCGACCACCUGGACUGAUACUGACACUGAGGUGCGAAAGCGUGGGGAGCAAACAGGAUUAGAUACCCUGGUAGUCCACGCCGUAAACGAUGUCAACUAGCCGUUGGGUACCUUGAGUACUUAGUGGCGCAGCUAACGCAUUAAGUUGACCGCCUGAGGAGUACGGCCGCAAGGUUAAAACUCAAAUGAAUUGACGGGGGCCCGCACAAGCGGUGGAGCAUGGUGGUUUAAUUCGAAGCAACGCGAAGAACCUUACCU
rnacentral:rRNA from 1 species